AGCAAAGUAACAAAGCAACAAAAAAUGGAACCACUGACGGUUAGCUGGCUGUCUGGUCACAUCACAAGAGGCUAGAAGACGGACUUUGCCAACCACCGACAAGAAUGAAGCUUUUCAGUCUUGUGAGGGAGAGACAUUAACACACGACUGCAGCGAGGAUGCACCUUGUGUCACUAGAGUUGAUACACCUCUCCCUACAGACACGGCAGCACAGCACAGGCCAGUACAGUACAGCACAGCACAGCACAGCACAGCACAGCACAGCAAUACAUCCUCGGCCACGCUCUUCUACGCCCUGACAGUCCAUUCCAGAGAGCCGUGCUAGUGUUGCCUUCCCCUAAGCAGCGUGUGUCAGUGAGGUGAUACACUCUCUGACUCCUCCAGCACCCGCGGCUCCUCCAGUCAGCCCGGCAUCCCCGGCACGCUUUGCUCCCUGCGCGAGUCAAAAGCGUCCCGCCCAGCUUUGUUUAGGCGCAUUCAUCCUGUUUUAUUUAACUACGAGUCAACAUUUCUCAACCCUUCAUUUUACUUUCUCAUUCCUCAGGACGCGUUUGUUUCUGAAAUGAAAAAGAAUCCUUCCUGCCGCCGCCCACGCCGCGUUCAGGCGUUUUGUUGACGUGCGAGGGUUUCUUUCUUCCUGAGAUGCAGCUCGUCUCAUUAGGGAGACGCUGUGCUGCGCUGUGCUGCACUGUGCUGUGAGGCGGGCGUUGUACUCGUAUAGUUACAGCCGCGCUUGAAUGGUGUCCGUAGCACGUAAAGGGAAUUACAAGCAGCGGAAAACAGGUCAUUCUUUGUAAGGCACACGACCUCACUGUCUCCUUGUGUGUCUGUCUGUCUGUAGGUGCGCACUCAGGCGUUGCAUAGUUACCUACAGUCGUACAUGAAUGAUGCGCGUGUCACGCAAACACAACCACAAAUAAUUCCAAAUAAGUCAUUCUAAACUACACUACUACUACAUGUCUCUGCAUCGGUUGAGAACCAAAACAAUCACACGUGACCCAGACAACACUGCAUCGAACCACCCAUCACCUGCUGUACUAACGAACACACCUGGGAGUGACUGAAGCUGUGAACACAUGCAUUGUUUUCACCACGACUGCACAGUUCUUCACAGAGUUCCAGUAUUUAUCGACGAGACAAGGGAGGUGCUGAACCCUUGACUGCUGAUGACGUCAGGACGUGAAUAACUGAAGCACUCCUUCAUCACUUGACGGAACAGAAAAACACCUACAGUCACUAAACGGUUUGAGUUACCACGUCACUUCUCCAGCUGUCACUGGCGUGUUUGGAAGUCACACCCUGAACUUGAGUCACAAGCUUUGCUUGAUGGAAGGUGAGCCGGAGCAGUCAGAGGGUGACUCACUGACUGCACGUACAAAUUUUCGCCAUUCAAAACACAGGAAAAGACGUAAAUGUGUAAGAUUACUCUUUAAACCAUGCAAGUAUGAUAUAAAACAGUCAGCGCCAAAUCCUCUUUAACGAGGCUUAUACUUGAACACUAAAAACAGGAGUAACAAGUUUUUUUCCUGCCGAGACUUGAGUGCCUCCGGCGAUACGUGCUGCAGAGAAGGUAAUAAAAAAGUAAAAUAACCUUCAGCGCACACAGACGCUAUUUAAAUAUGCCUUUGCUUUCAGGAUUACGCGGAUCGUACUCAAAGCAGAGCGAACCAUCGACACGAAACAGCGAGUCAGCAGCGACCUGUUCAGUGAAUCAGUGAAUCCGCGUCUCUCUCUCUCUAGGUGCCGAGGUGUUAAAUAAGUAAAUAAGUAAGUAAAUAAACAAAUAAAAGCAUAAGAAUAAAUGUCUCAGGAAAAUUGUCACAGAAAAUUUGGCACAAGAAAAAUGUUGCUUCAAAAUGUCACGUACUCGUACUUAUGAUCACGAAGAAAUUCCAUACUAAGUUAGGUUACGUUGUCAGGUUAGAUUAGUGUAACACCUGGUUGUCUGACUAAGCUAGCUCGCUCCUUGUACUGUGAUAUUAUUUGUUUGUCUGUUUUGGCAUACAGUGAAUUUGUAGUAGUCUGAUUUUAACGCAAUACUAUUUUUAACUAUUGUAUUGUAUUUAUUCCAUCAAUGUAUUAUUAGUAUGAUAACAUGUUUAAUGCAGUAUGCGUUGGUUGAAAAGGGGACUGUUAACUAGCUUGUUUAGAUGCGUCACGUACGUGCUGCACUCUGGCGGCGAACAGCAGAGAUAGUUCAGGGAGGAGUGAGGAACCGUCAGUCUGUCCGUGAUAUAGCACCAGUAUACUUGCACUCUUGUGUUACACCUAUGAACACUUUUGCCCCUUCGCGUUGACACCUUAGGGCGCCACAGACUGUUCUUCCUGCAGCUCCUGGCAGACAAAACCAGUAAUGGAGUAAAGCGGGGACUCGAGGCACGCCUGGAGGACAAGCAGAGGAGAGGAGAGAUGGAAGAAGGCACGCAAACACUCUCAGGUCGCAGGCGAGGAACACGUGAGGGUCUGAUUCCGUCCCCAGGCAGCAGCCGCCGCCACUCCCCUGCCAAGUGCAAGGGCGGACAUCACAAGUUUGGAGCGAUGAACUGAAAGAGACGCAGCCAACGAAGACAAAAGGCCGCGUGUGGGUGACUGAGGACACGAACCUACCACGAGAAACACAAAGGAAGAAGAUUAUCCUGAGGCUAUAAUUCAUAAUAUCCUGUCUAGUCGUUCCGCCACGUCCAGCGCACCCCGGCGGCAUAAAGAACACAAGUGGUCGUUCCUGUACCAGCACGACAAACACAUCAGCCAAACAUGUGAGUCCAGGAGGGGAACAACAAAACGUCAUCUUUCUUUAGUGUGUAUGUAGUUUGAAAGUUAUUAAUCUAUUGACGAUACGCGAAACUUUACGAGUAUUUUGCCGCAUGCUAUGACCACUAUGUGCAAAUGCGUUUGAUACAGAAAUAUUUAUCCGCAAUAAUAUUGGCAGAUAUUUUGCCAUGAAGUAUUAUGAAUCGCCGCUAACUAUUUCCGAUAACCGCUUACGAUGGAAAGGUUCAACGCUUCCGGCUCAACCUUUUGCUGGAAAAAAAAAAAAAAAGCGA